AUUGAACGCUGGCGGCAUGCCUUACACAUGCAAGUCGAACGACGCCAGGGGCAACUCUAGCGAGUGGCGUACGGGUGAGUAAUGCAUCGGAACGUGCCCUCUCGUGGGGGAUAACCAGUCGAAAGAUUGGCUAAUACCGCAUGAGCUCGAGAGAGGAAAGCGGGGGAUCCGCAAGGACCUCGCGCGAGAGGAGCGGCCGAUGCACGCGUAGCUAGUUGGGGGGGUAAAAGCCCACCAAGGCGACGAUCGGUAGCUGGUCUGAGAGGACGACCAGCCACACUGGGACUGAGACCCGGCCCAGACUCCUGCGGGAGGCAGCAGUGGGGAAAUUUGGACAAUGGGGGCAACCCUGAUCCAGCCAUGCCGCGUGUGUGAAGAAGGCCUUCGGGUUGUAAAGCACUUUCGGACGGAACGAAAUCGCGCGGGUGAACAAUCCGCGUGGAUGACGGUACCGUAAGAAGAAGCACCGGCUAACUACGUGCCAGCCGCCGCGGUAA
rnacentral:rRNA from 1 species